UACGUAGGGGGCUAGCGUUGCUCGGAAUCACUGGGCGUAAAGCGCACGUAGGCGGAUCGUUAAGUCGGAGGUGAAAUCCUGGAGCUCACUCCAGAACUGCCCUUUGAUACUGAGGAUCUUGAGUUCCGGGAGAGGUGAGUGGAACUGCGAGUGUAGAGGUGAAAUUCGUAGAUAUUCGCAAGAACACCAGUGGCGAAGGCGGCUCACUGGCCCGAUACUGACGCUGAGGCACGAAGCGUGGG
rnacentral:rRNA from 1 species